rnacentral:rRNA from 1 species
UACGUAGGGGGCAAGCGUUAUCCGGAUUUACUGGGUGUAAAGGGAGCGUAGACGGCAGCACAAGUCUGGAGUGAAAUCCCAUGGCUUAACCAUGGAACUGCUUUGGAAACUGUGCAGCUGGAGUGCAGGAGAGGUAAGCGGAAUUCCUAGUGUAGCGGUGAAAUGCAUAGAUAUAACUUAGAACUCCGAUCGCGAAGGCAGCUUACCAGACUGUAACUGACGCUGAAGCACGAGAGCGUGGGUAGCAAACAGG